GGGGAUGUGGCUCAGUGGUAGAGCACUUGCCUAGCAUGUAUGAGGCACUGGAUUCAAUCCUCAGCCCCA
rnacentral:tRNA from 1 species